GAUGAACGCUGGCGGCGUGCCUAAUACAUGCAAGUCGAGCGAACGGACGAGAAGCUUGUUUCUCUGAUGUUAGCGGCGGACGGGUGAGUAACACGUGGAUAACCGACCUAUAAGACUGGGAUAACUUCGGGAAACCGGAGCUAAUACCGGAUAAUAUUUAGAACCGCAUGGUUCAAAAGUGAAAGACGGUCUUGCUGUCCCUUAUAGAUGGACCCGGGCUGCAUUAGCUGGUUGGUAAGGUAACGGCUUACCAAGGCAACGAGGCAUAGCAGACCUGAGAGGGUGAUCGGCCGCACUGGAGCGGAGACGCGCUCCCGACUCCUGCGGGAGGCACCAGUCGGGAACCUUCCGCAGUGGGCGGAAGCCUGUCGGAGCAACGCCGCGUGAGUGAUGAAGGUCUUCGGAUCGUAAAACUCUGUUAUUAGCGAAGAACAUAUGUGUAAGUAACUGUGCACAUCUUGACGGUACCUAAUCAGAAAGCCACGGCUAACUACGUG
rnacentral:rRNA from 1 species